rnacentral:rRNA from 1 species
CAGCAGCCACGGUAAUACGGAGGGGGCUAGCGUUGUUCGGAUUUACUGGGCGUAAAGCGCACGUAGGCGGACUUUUAAGUCAGGGGUGAAAUCCCGGGGCUCAACCCCGGAACUGCCUUUGAUACUGGAAGUCUUGAGUAUGGUAGAGGUGAGUGGAAUUCUGAGUGUAGAGGUGAAAUUCGUAGAUAUUCGGAGGAACACCAGUGGCGAAGGCGGCUCCCUGGACCAUUACCGACGCUGAGGUGCGAAAGCGUGGGGAGCAAACAGGAUUAGAUACCCCGGUAGUCCCUGUCUCUUAUAC